rnacentral:rRNA from 1 species
UGGGGAAUAUUGGACAAUGGGCGGAAGCCUGAUCCAGCAACGCCGCGUGAGGGAUGACGGCCUUCGGGUUGUAAACCUCUUUCAGCACCGACGAAGCUCCACUUUUUGGUGGUUCGACGGUAGGUGCAGAUGAAGGACCGGCCAACUACGUGCCAGCAGCCGCGGUAAUACGUAGGGUCCGAGCGUUGUCCGGAAUUAUUGGGCGUAAAGGGCUCGUAGGCGGUUUGUCGCGUCGGGAGUGAAAACAUCUGGCUUAACUGGGUGCUUGCUUUCGAUACGGGCAGACUGGAGGUAUGCAGGGGAGAACGGAAUUCCUGGUGUAGCGGUGAAAUGCGCAGAUAUCAGGAGGAACACCGGUGGCGAAGGCGGUUCUCUGGGCAUGACCUGACGCUGAGGAGCGAAAGUGUGGGGAGCGAAC